CGGGGCAGUUCACAUCAGCAGGACUUGGCAGUAUUGCUCGCAUUACACCUGAUAUUUCAAAGGGCAUAUUUCGAUAUCAACCACCAACCGAGGCUCGCCAGUCAUACAUGCCGGGCAAAGUGCUCUCUGGCCCUGCGAAGCUGCAGCUGCGAUCAAAUCUGCUGGCCACCAAACUCCUUGUAGCUGUUUCCUGCUGCAACAGAACCGACGGGACUGGGUCUUGUCCCUGACGCCAGAGGAGACCCUUGGCUUUUAUUGCUGGGUGGAGCCAAGCUGAGCCUCUCUCCUCACCCCCACCCGGUGCCUGAACAGAGCCCACCACCCAUGAUUUCGAAUCCAUCCAAAUAUUUCCCCUGUUCUUGGCUGAGCUGAAAUUCAAAACGCUUCCAUUCUUUGCUUCGGCGGGCUUGUAUGGAUCAGGUUGAGGAGCCCUUGUUAGAAAGUUAUCUCACUGCCCCAUGGGCAUAUAUUUAAUAUAUCCCCAACCUGCAUUGCAGGGGGUUGGACUAGAUUACCCUCGGAUCCCUUUCACCGCUACAAUUCUAUGAUUCUUUGAGCUCUUAUUCAAGGGGAGCUCUCCAGUCCAGGCGGGGAGGGCUCUCAGCAUGUGCUCAGAGAAUCACACCUCUCUGACCAUCUCAUGCUACAGCACCCUUCUAAUUUUGGUACUUAAAAAAAUAAAAUAAACCCCGGUCCCCUCCAUCUCUUGCUUCGCGAAACUUCUUGUCUGAUAAAGUUCUAGAAAGCUUGUCUCGCUUUCUGAGGCAUCUUUGGCUGGUGAACUUCGGGUUUUGGAGUUUCCGCUUGUUUCAAGUGUACCACGGUUGGGUCCAAGGCAGCAAGAGAUACUGGAUCUCUGAAAGUCGAGGACACCUUUACCCAGGGCUAUAACGCUGCGCUCCUCUUCCACCCGGUAAGCAACUGUAGAGUAGAGUAGUAGUCCCAACAAAUAUAAUAGACUCCGCAUUCCAAGGCGGUUGAGGUCAGAAGCACCAUUGGACUGACGUGUCUGCGUGCUGUUGCCAUAAGUUCUUUCCUCUUCCUCUCUCUCAAAAUAUCUUUAUAGGCAGCGAUGGUGGAGUGGUUAAGACUGUCGGAGGAGGAUCUGGGAGACGAGGGUUCAAAUCCCGCUGGGCCAUGGAGCUCCCUGUGUGUCCUUGGGUUAGUCACUGCCUGUCAGGUCGACCUACCUCAAAGGGCUGUUGUGGGGAUAAAAUGCGGAGGAGGAGAACCAUGUACACCACCUUGAGCUCCUUAGAGGAAAAGAUGAGAUAAAAACGCAAUAAAUCAAUAAGAAUAUAUGUUCUAAGAGAUUAGGGUACUAUCCCUGCGAUAAGGAGUGGGAUGGGAUCCGGAGGGGGGACAGACUUCAGCCUUCACCUGCUUUCUUUUUUACUAGAUCCCCCAAAUCGAGCCAGGUGCAAGACACAUCCAUUGGGACGAACGUAUUCUGAGCCGAGGAAUAUGAGCUGCAGAACUGAGCUGAGUUCAAGUCCUUCUUCCACGCAAAGAUCUGCUCCAGCUCUCUUCAUUUCAGUCCUUUCUUUUAACGG